rnacentral:rRNA from 2 species
CAACUUUCAACAAUGGAUCUCUUGGCUCUGGCAUCGAUGAAGAACGCAGCGAAAUGCGAUAAGUAGUGUGAAUUGCAGAAUUCAGUGAAUCAUCGAAUCUUUGAACGCACAUUGCGCCCCUUGGUAUUCCGGGGGGCAUGCCUGUUCGAGCGUCAUCU